UUGCCGUCGUUGACCACCUCACCUCCCUUGUCUCUCACCUCCAUGACCUCAAGAGCAAGGUAAUCCCCUUCCUGCCCUCCAAAAUCUCACUCUUGUUUCCUCCUCUUACUUGCAGAAUCAAAUCGUACAUGGCCUAGAGAAGAUCUUAGGGAUUUGAUUUACUAUUUUGUAUUUCUGAUUUUCGCUGAAGAAAAUUCGUGUCUUUGUGGUGUUCCCUGAGCGAUGAAUGCCUCUCACCUCCAUGACCUCAAGAGCAAGGUAAUCCCCUUCCUGCCCUCCAAAAUCUCACUCUUGUUUCCUCCUCUUACUUGCAGAAUCAAAUCGUACAUGGCCUAGAGAAGAUCUUAGGGAUUUGAUUUACCGUUUUGUAUUUCUGAUUUUCGCUGAAUAAAAUUCGUGUCUUUGUGGUGUUCCCUG
rnacentral:lncRNA from 1 species